UAGGGAAUCUUCGGCAAUGGACGAAAGUCUGACCGAGCAACGCCGCGUGAGUGAAGAAGGUUUUCGGAUCGUAAAACUCUGUUGUUAGAGAAGAACAAGGACGUUAGUAACUGAACGUCCCCUGACGGUAUCUAACCAGAAAGCCACGGCUAACUACGUGCCAGCAGCCGCGGUAAUAUGUAGGUGGCAAGCGUUGUCCGGAUUUAUUGGGCGUAAAGCGAGCGCAGGCGGUUUCUUAAGUCUGAUGUGAAAGCCCCCGGCUCAACCGGGGAGAGUCAUUGGAAACUGGGAGACUUGAGUGCAGAAGAGGAGAGUGGAAUUCCAUGUGUAGCGGUGAAAUGCGUAGAUAUAUGGAGGAACACCAGUGGCGAAGGCGGCUCUCUGGUCUGUAACUGACGCUGAGGCUCGAAAGCGUGGGGAGCAAACAGG
rnacentral:rRNA from 1 species